rnacentral:piRNA from 1 species
UGAAAAUCAAACCGUGCCGUGGCAGCUU